rnacentral:rRNA from 1 species
GAAAGCCUGACGGAGCAAUACCGCGUGAGGGAGGAAGGCUCUUGGGUCGUAAACCUCUUUUCUCAGGGAAGAACACAAUGACGGUACCUGAGGAAUAAGCAUCGGCUAACUCCGUGCCAGCAGCCGCGGUAAUACGGAGGAUGCAAGCGUUAUCCGGAAUGAUUGGGCGUAAAGCGUCCGCAGGUGGCUAUGUAAGUCUGCUGUUAAAGCGUCUAGCUCAACUAGAUAAAAGCAGUGGAAACUACAAGGCUAGAGUGCGUUMGGGGCAGAGGGAAUUCCUGGUGUAGCGGUGAAAUGCGUAGAGAUCAGGAAGAACACCGGUGGCGAAG